GUCUCCUUAUGCAGUAGGCAGCGCAUCAGUCUUAUAAUCUGAAGGUUCUGAGUUUGAACCUCAGAGUAGGCA
rnacentral:tRNA from 1 species